rnacentral:tRNA from 1 species
UGGUGAGUAAGCAUAGCGGUACUGCGGCGGGCUGUUAACCCGUUUUCUCGGAAGAGUCUCGUUGGUUCGAAUCCAACCUCACCAGCCA